CUGCGCCAGGAAUUAGUUUAGUCCUGCUUUCCUUUUAUGAUGGUAGGAUGUUAAAACUGGUGCACAAAGGAAAUGCUGCUCUUGAAGCAGUGGCGGCCAGACAACCGUUGAGAUAGAUCCACAGAUGAACAGCCUCUCUGUUGCUUGUCUACUAAUUCUAUCUCACAUUA
rnacentral:snoRNA from 1 species